UACAGAGGUGGCAAGCGUUGUUCGGAAUUACUGGGCGUAAAGGGCGAGUAGGUGGCCAUCUAAGUCAGACGUGAAAUCCCCCGGCUUAACCUGGGAACUGCGUCUGAUACUGGACGGCUUGAGUAUGGGAGAGGAACGUAGAAUUCCAGGUGUAGCGGUGAAAUGCGCAGAUAUCAGGAGGAACACCGGUGGCGAAGGCGGGUCUCUGGGCCGUAACUGACGCUGAGGAGCGAAAGCGUGGGGAGCGAACAGG
rnacentral:rRNA from 1 species